UUCCCGGCUCCGGGAGCGCCCCUAGGGAGUCGGAGCCCGGAAGCUGGAGCCACCUGCGGGUUGCACUUCCCCCAGCUGGCCCUGAGGCGGAGGCUGGGGCAGCUGAGCUGCAUGUCCAGACCCGCUCUGAAACUGCGCUCCUGGCCCUUGACUGUCCUCUACUACCUCCUGCCCUUCGGCGCCCUCAGACCGCUCAGCCGGGUGGGAUGGAGGCCCGUAAGCAGGGUGGCUUUGUACAAGUCAGUGCCAACGCGCUUGCUGUCACGGGCCUGGGGUCGCCUCAAUCAGGUGGAGCUGCCACACUGGCUGCGCAGGCCCGUCUACAGCCUGUACAUCUGGACGUUUGGGGUGAACAUGAAAGAGGCCGCUGUGGAGGACCUGCAUCACUACCGCAACCUCAGCGAGUUCUUCCGGCGCAAGCUGAAGCCGCAGGCCCGGCCUGUCUGUGGCCUGCACAGCGUGAUUAGCCCAUCGGAUGGAAGGAUCCUCAACUUUGGGCAGGUGAAGAACUGCGAGGUGGAGCAGGUAAAGGGGGUCACCUACUCCCUGGAGUCGUUCCUGGGCCCGCGUACCUGCACAGAGGACCUGCCCUUCCCACCAGGUGGGUCACUGCACAGGCGGGGCCAGGCAGCCCUGCUGCUGUGUGGCUGGACCGGGAGGGAGGGGAAUGCUGGGGAAGGAACUGAGGCUGGCAUGUGGGGCCUCCCUGAGAAUCCAUGUGCAGACCACACUCGGGCUCCGUGCUGGGUGCUCACUGUGUUGGUGGCCCCCACGUCUGCUCCUACUCCACAGCUGCGUCGUGUGACUCCUUCAAGAACCAGCUGGUCACCCGGGAAGGGAAUGAGCUCUAUCACUGUGUCAUCUACCUGGCCCCUGGGGACUACCACUGCUUCCACUCCCCCACCGACUGGACUGUGUCCCACCGGCGCCACUUCCCAGGCUCCCUGAUGUCAGUGAACCCUGGCAUGGCUCGCUGGAUCAAAGAGCUCUUCUGCCAUAACGAGCGGGUAGUCCUGACGGGGGACUGGAAACAUGGCUUCUUCUCACUGACAGCUGUGGGGGCCACCAACGUGGGCUCCAUUCGCAUCUACUUUGACCGGGACCUGCACACAAACAGCCCAAGGCACAGCAAGGGCUCCUACAAUGACUUCAGCUUCGUGACGCACACCAAUAGAGAGGGCGUCCCCAUGCGUAAGGGCGAGCACCUGGGCGAGUUCAACCUGGGCUCCACCAUCGUGCUCAUCUUUGAGGCCCCCAAGGACUUCAAUUUCCAGCUGAAAACAGGACAGAAAAUCCGCUUUGGGGAAGCCCUGGGCUCGCUCUAGAGUCUCUUUCCUGAUUAUGGCUGCUAAGGGAUCUUUUCCAAACAGAGUGAGGGUCUUUUCAAGAGGGAGGCCCAUGGGGCCAUCCAGGUGAGGGCCUGCCUCAGCGUGGGUGGGAGUCUGACCAGGUAGGACUUGAAUGAUUCGGCUCCACCUGUUCCAGAGGUGCAGACAAGAGGUGGUGAGAGCCCCCGUCAUGCCCUCAACCUAUCCCGUUCCUUCUCCCUACAAAUAAAAAGUGCAGGCUGGAAUGAUCUCAGUCACAUUUGGAUCUUUUUAAACACUGUAUAGACGGAAGAUCCUGCAUUCCUGACUGAACCUUCAGUUGGUCUUGGUUGUCGUUUUUUCUUGCUGCUCCUCCCCCCAUCACCUGAGCUGUUUUCUGUUGGCCCCUUUUGUUUUUUGGCCUUAACGCUCCUGCUGCACAGGGUGAGGUGCCUCCUUGGCACAGACUGUGGAUGCCUCUCCCCCAGCAGAGCCACACAGCCUUCGUGACAACUGCUUUCCGUUCCCACAUUCACCUCAUCCUGCUCUUUAAAAAAGCAGUCUUUGUGCUUGUGGCUGAACGCAUCACCCUGGACUCUGCUAGUGUCUUCUGAGGACACUGAUGACACUGAUUAAUGAUACAGACCUUUGCAGGACCUGAUGAGUGACCCUUCUGGAGCUGGCCAGGUCCUCUGCAGCAGGCAAGACCAAUCAAUCACUGAACCUGCCUCAUGGCACCAGAGUGAACAGGGCAGGCAGGUAGUAGGCCCAGCUGGGGAAACGGGAGAGUUCCUGUCCCCCUCCACAUAUCCCUACAUGAAAUAUGGGAAAGUUGCUGCUAUUGAUUCAGGGUCUGUCUUGGAGGCAGAGGACCCUUGGUGGAUAGUUGGUCAGUGCCUGGAAAACCUGUCCCAGUUAUCAGGAACGCAGGCCUGGGGAGCCCCCAGUGGCAGGGACAGGGCCAGAUUUCAUGUUGACCCUGGGGAUGCUGUGAAUUUCUCCUGCAGGAGAGACAUCAUUGAAUUUUUUCAACUGUAUCAGUAGCACAGUAUUUUUGUAUGAAAAGU
rnacentral:sRNA from 1 species